UGGUGGAUUGAUUUGUCCGGUUAAUUCCGUUAACGAACGAGACCUUACCUUACUAAAUAGUCGCAUGUAAUGCUUCUUAUGUGGGUGACUUCUUAGAAGGACAUGGUGUGUUUAACACAAGGAAGUUUGAGGCAAUAACA
rnacentral:rRNA from 1 species